AGAGUUUGAUCCUGGCUCAGAACGAACGCUGGCGGUAUGCUUAACACAUGCAAGUCGAACGCGAAAGUUUCUUCGGAAGCGAGUAGAGUGGCGCACGGGUGAGUAACACGUAGAUAACCUGCCCUUCAGUCCGGGACAACCUUCUGAAAAGGGGGCUAAUACUGGAUAAUACUUAUAGACGAGUGUUUUUAAGUUAAAAGAUUUAUUGCUGGGGGAUGGGUCUGCGCACCAUUAGCUAGUUGGGGGGGUAACGGCCCACCAAGGCUACGAUGGUUAGCGGGUCUGAGAGGAUGGUCCGCCACACUGGAACUGAGACACGGUCCAGACUCCUACGGGAGGCAGCAGUGGGGAAUUUUGCGCAAUGGGCGUAAGCCUGACGCAGCAAUACCGCGUGAGUGAAGAAGGCCUUUGGGUCGUAAAGCUCUUUUUUCAGGGAAGAUAAUGACGGUACCUGAAGAAUAAGCGCCGGCUAACUCCGUGCCAGCAGCCGCGGUAAUACGGAGGGCGCGAGCGUUGUUCGGAUUUACUGGGCGUAAAGGGCGCGUAGGCGGCAUAACAAGCUAAGGGUGAAAUCCCGGGGCUCAACUCCGGAACUGUUCUUAGGACUGUUAAGCUAGAGAUAGUUAGAGGCGGGUGGAAUUCCUGGUGUAGAGGUGAAAUUCGUAGAUAUCAGGAGGAACACCGGAGGCGAAGGCGACCCGCUGGGACUAUUCUGACGCUGAUGCGCGAAAGCGUGGGGAGCGAACGGGAUUAGAUACCCCGGUAGUCCACGCCGUAAACGAUGAAUACCGGCUGUUUGGGAAAUCGACCUUCCAAGUGGCGCAGCUAACGCGAUGAGUAUUCCGCCUGUGAUUACGGUCGCAAGACUAAAACUCAAAGGAAUUGACGGGGGCCCGCACAAGCGGUGGAGCAUGUGGUUUAAUUCGACGCAACGCGAAGAACCUUACCUGGGUUUGACAUCCCCUGCUAGUCACAGAGAUGUGAUUUUCUCUUCGGAGACAGGGUGACAGGUGCUGCAUGGCUGUCGUCAGCUCGUGUCGUGAGAUGUUGGGUUAAGUCCCGCAACGAGCGCAACCCUUGUCCUUAGUUGCCAGCGAUUCGGUCGGGAACUCUAAGGAGACUGCCGGUGUUAAGCCGGAGGAAGGUGGGGAUGACGUCAAGUCCUCAUGGCCUUUAUAUCCAGGGCUACACACGUGCUACAAUGGUGACUACAAAGAGUCGCGAAGCCGCGAGGUGGAGCUAAUCUCAAAAAAGUCAUCUCAGUUCGGAUUGCAAUCUGCAACUCGGUUGCAUGAAGUUGGAAUCGCUAGUAAUCGUAGAUCAGCGCGCUACGGUGAAUACGUUCCCGGGCCUUGUACACACCGCCCGUCACACCAUGGGAGUUGACAUUAGCAGAAUACAUUGAGCUAACUUUCGAGAGGCAGGUGUAGAAGCUAGUGUUGAUGACUGGGGUGAAGUCGUAACAAGGUA
rnacentral:rRNA from 1 species